CCUACGGGGAGCUGCAGUGAGGAAUAUUGGUCAAUGGCCGUAAGGCUGAACCAGCCAAGUAGCGUGAGGGAAGACUGCCCUAUGGGUUGUAAACCUCUUUUAUGCGGGGAUAAAGGUGUCCACGUGUGGAUGUUUGCAGGUACCGCAUGAAUAAGGACCGGCUAAUUCCGUGCCAGCAGCCGCGGUAAUACGGAAGGUCCGGGCGUUAUCCGGAUUUAUUGGGUUUAAAGGGAGCGUAGGCCGUGCUUUAAGCGUGCCGUGAAAUUUUGUGGCUCAACCAUGAGAGUGCGGCGCGAACUGGAGGCCUUGAGUGCGCGGAAGGCAGGCGGAAUUCGUGGUGUAGCGGUGAAAUGCUUAGAUAUCACGAAGAACCCCGAUUGCGAAGGCAGCCUGCCGCAGCGUUACUGACGCUGAGGCUCGAAAGCGCGGGUAUCGAACAGGAUUAGAUACCCGUGUAGUC
rnacentral:rRNA from 1 species